CAAACCCAGCUCGCUAACGGGCGGCGGGCGGAGUAGAGCUCCCAGGCUCCCGAAGCUUCCCACAUCUGGAGGAUGACGACCCUCCCCUGCCCACAUCUGGAGAGCAUCCAGCUACAAACCGGCGGGGCACGUCUCCUCUCUUUUCCUGGCCUGGAUCCCAACCCCCCAAGGAGGACUGAGGUGUGUGUACCGAGGUGGGGCUCGUCUGGGGUAUCAGCCAAACCUGCUCGCGGCUCUGCUCCCACUCUGAAGCCCCCUCCCUCCCUGAGCAGCGCCCCCCCCCCCACACUCUCAUCUGCCCACCUUCCAGGCUCACUUCUCCGACUCACCUGGCUUUCGGUCCCCUCCGGCGGCUCGGCCCGCCCCCCUGCGGACCCCCCAACCCGGCCGUCGUGCCCUGGAGGAUAUGGGUUACAGACCGUGCGGAGACACCAGCUCCGCGGGCGGCUGUCCUGGCUCAAGUAGAAGAAAACCACCGGGGCCAGCGCCGGGUACGGCAGCCCCUCCGCCUCGGAGUCCGCGCUGCCCGGGUCCUUUUCCGUCGACCCCGGCCCCGGCCGGCCCCCGGCCCCCGACAGGUCGUUGAGCCGCAUGAAGCUCCGGGGCUGUCCUGACUCCUCGGUGCCCGCUCCAUCCUCCUCCUCGUCCAUCCUCUGGCCAGCCGGGGCCCCGGGCGGUCUCGAGAGGGGCGAGCGGCGCCCCUCAGAGGAGGUGUCCUCACGCAACCGGGGGGCCCCGGCGGGGGCGCAUCUGGGGGGCUCUAGGGCGCAGGCUGAGCCCCCGGGAGGGCCAGUUCAGCCCAGCUCCCCCUGCCCGCAGGGGCAUGCUGCCCGCGGGGCGCCGGGUCGCAGGGAAGCCCCGCCCGGCGCGAGUCCCGCUUCCCCAGGGCUCCUGGGGCCCCCCGGGCCAGCCGGCCGGCUCCCCCUCACUUUGUUCCGGCUUCUUCGCUUCGCGCCCAGGCUCCAGUCGCCCGAUUCGGCGCUACCUUCGGCGAAGCGGCCGGGAGAGGGGGAGAGAGAAGGGGGUCGGAGAACAGGGGGUACGGGGGAGGGGCGCCCCCUCUUCCUGCGGCGCAGCUGGAGCAGGAUCUAAGGGGUCAGCAUCGUCCCGGCUCCGCGCCAGCGGCGGCGGGGGGAGGGGAAGAGGGAUCUCUUUGGGGGUGGGUUUGAAGGGGGUGGGGGGCGGCUCCUUCCUCCGCCCCGCGGCGGGCUCCCGGUCCGGGAGGGGCGGGGAGACGGUGGGGGGCCGUCCCGGGCGGGGGUGGAGGCGGAGAUGCCGCCGCCGCAGCCGCCGCGGUGGCUGCCGCUGCCGUAGCUGUCGCCGGCGCCACUGCCUCCUCCUCCGGCCGAGACGCGGAGCGAGCGAGCGAAAGCGGCCGCGAGGAGCCCGGCGCACACCACAGCUGGAUCCCUCACUCCAACUUCAAGCCUCGGCCCCGCCUCUCCCCAGCCAGCCUCGCAGCCAAUCGCUGCGCGCCGCCGGCCCCGAGCCCCGCGCCCAUUGGCGGGCCGCCGUGGCAGUGCGGGCGGGGGCGCCGGGGGAGAGAACCACAGCUGGAAUCCGGUUCCCACCCUGAAGCCCAGGACCGCCCCUCUCCCCUCCCCUUGCCCCUGGGUCCGCUCCCGAAGGCCAGAGCCAAUUAGACGGCUACCCAGACCGAACCCAUUUUCCUAUUGGCCGCUGGGGUCUCUGGGACUCCCCUGGAGGGAGCCCCGGGGAAUCAGAGUGUUCGGCGCCGGGUCCCGGGAUAGCGCUGCGGGCCCCGGGGCAUCCUUUGUCCAAGACCCCUGAAUUGGACCGCAGCCGGAGGGCGGGGCCCAGCUCUGGGCGGGCCUGGGCAGAAGAGAGGCUGGCGGCCGGGGCUGUGGGUGGUGACCAGGGUCCCCAGAGCGAAACCCUGGGUGUCCACCGGAUUAAUCGCCUACCCUGGAGUCGAGCCCGGGAGCGCGACUGAAGAAGGGGAGGAGCGGAGUAGGAUGUCCCGGGGGUAGGGGCUUCAGGCUUGGAGAAACAGGCGGAGCCUAGGCAAGUCCGGGGCAAGCAAGGUCUGGGCGUGGUUUCCACCAACCUCCUUAUGUAGACCCCUCUCCCAGGUCCACUUCUGCGACGUUGACCCUGACCUUCUAACGCUAAGCCGCCGACCCUGACCUCAGGUCAACACUCCUGAGCUUCCUCCUCUCUGCCCCUAGGGAUCCUUUGGAGGCUGUGGAUCUCUCGCAGGGGCUUCGAGCUCGAACACGUGGCCCCAAACAGGUCAAGCCAGUCCCAGAGCCCAGGUCCCCAAGAUCAGCUGAGGAGCAGAGAGAAGCUCCCUCGAAGGGACCUGCGGGGGCCUCCGGUGUGUGGGAGGGAGUGGAAGCACGGAGCUGGGCUUUGCUGGCUCUUGGCCUGCAAGGUCUUACCAACCUCCCACCCCGUGUCUCAGUUUUUCCCUCUCGAGUUCCAGUACGGCUGGGAAGGCAGCCGCAGGACAGGAGCUUCUCGUGGCUGCUCUCGCACACCUCUGCUACCGGGGGAGCGGGUCCUCGAGUGUCUGCAGCUCUCCACUCGCGCACACGCUCGUGUGCCCCGGGAACCUCGCCCCGCCCCACCUUCGCGAGUCCCCGGGCUCAGUCAGCUCCUGCUCCCUCUCACCGCCAGCGCCGCCCCAAAAGGCUGUAGGUGCCCGGGUGCAGAGCGCCGCGGGAGCGCUGGGCGCUGGAGCGAGGUGGGGCGGAGAGGGCGUCGAGCAUUAGACGUCCGGAAAGCACUUCCCCACCUCUGGGAAGGUGGACACGGCGGCGGGACCAAGAAGGUCAGUCAGUGCUGGGUCCCGAGACUUCGGGGCGCUGACGCCACUGCGGAGAGGCAGAGGCGUGGACCAGAUGAUCUCCCGUCCCCGCCCCCCCCUCCCCCCGGGCCACCCGAGCAGCCCCCGCGUGCCUCCGGCCGCCCGGGGUGGGUGUCUCAGCCCCCUCGAGGGCGGGCUGCAGCCAGUGCAGUGGGGAGGCGCCGAGGGGUUGCAGCCUCUCGGGUUGCCCUUUCGCCAAAUCCGGGCACCGAGUUGUGUAAAUGAGGCCGAGCUCAUUUGCAUUGCAUGCUAAUGAGCAGAUCCCUUAAGUGCCUUUCCCUCCUGGCGGGAGUCUCUGCUCUCAUUCCGUGUGUGCCGCGCCAGGCUUGAACUCUCAGCGGUCUUCUGGGAGAGGGGCCUAUUUAUGGUUCACUCCACGUGUCUGACACCUUCAUCCCUCCCGCAGGUCCGCAGUCUGCCUGGUCGGCCUGCCCUUCCCCCACAGUGUCAAGAAGCCCCAGGGCUGGCACCAGGACGUAGGGACUUUAAUCAUCCCCUCUUUGCAGAGGGUACAAUGAGCCCAGAGAGGCUUGCCCAGCCCAGUGGUCAAGUUUCCUGGUGGUCAGCAGGUCCCACACCUCCAUCCAUCAUCCAGGCCACCCCUGUCUCUGGGCUGAGCUCUAUUCUAGAGCAUACCCAGGAAGGUGGCAGGGUGUGGGGCAGACACAUUUACCUCCCUGGCCUUGGGACCUGGGGUGACCUGCCCCCUAAAGCAUCCUGAUCCCUGGGUGGGGGCACCAGGGGACCCCGCCUCAGAUGCUCUCUUAGCCUGAGUGGGUAAGGGGAGAAGGGAAGCAAGACCUACAGAGAAGGCAAAAAAAAAGGGUGAAACCCUCUUUAACUCCUACCUUCCAAGUCUCAGCUCCACCAUCACCUCCUCAGAAUGGCCUUUUUCAGCAAGUAUUGCAGUGCUUACUAAGUGUCAAGGUGCUGAGGACACAGUACAGAGCUAGACAAGAAUCUGGAACCUCAAAGGCUUCACCCAGACUCGGAUUAUAGGUUUAUGUUUGUAGUAAUGAAACCCCCCUCUAGGCUCUAUGUUCCCUCGGGCAAGACUUUAUGUCCAUUUUGCUCACCAGAGCCUGGUCCCAUGUUUGGCACAUAGUAGGUACUUAAUAAAUCUUUAUUAGAUGAAUAACCUUAGGCAGGGAGGAGAAUGAGAGGGACAAGAAAUUCCUUUCCUUGGGCCUCAGUUUCCUAACAAAGAAGUUAGGCCUAAGUGUGUCUAAGAUGUCCUCUGGGUUUGAGGGAGAGCCUUCAUACCUGCUCUGCCAGCCCCACCAGCCCCCUCCAACCGUCUCCCCCUUACACCUCCUUCACAGCCUGGCUGGCUCCCUCAGGAACUGAGAUAAUCUUCCCAUCUCUGACAUGCUCUGCUCAGCGAUGACACAUCAUUCCAUGUAGUCACCUCACAGCCUUGGGAGUUGGGUGGAGGUCGUCCCAUUUUUUGGAUAAGAAAACUGAGGCUUGGGGAGAUGACCUUAUUUCAGUGACUUCUCAAACUGGGAGGUCCUGUCUCCAAUGGCACUGGCCCACAGCUCCUCCAGAACAGCCCCUGCUGGCUGAGCGAGGAGCGGAUGCAAGCGGGACCAGCAAAGGCUGCAGACUUUAAAAAUCCCGUAUCUGAGCAAGACUUACGUUCAGCUUUGUCCUAGUCAGAAAAUGCUAGCUCUCCCGGGAGCCCUAACCCUUUAAGGCCCUAACUGCUUCCUUUGAACCUGUUACAGGAUCCCUUUCUCAAGCACAUGCCUGGUAUCAGAGGAAGGGAACUGAGGACACACAGAGCAGAGUGAAGGCUGGCUAGAGAGGUAGGAAACACCAAAUGCACCUCCUUUCACAACUGUGCCUGCACCUCCUGGAGGAAGAGGAAGGUUCAGCAGUUUUUACUGUACCCUGAAGGCCCCAGAAAGAACCAGAUGUGAUGAGUGGUCGCAGGUCCAUCUGUUACCCUCCCUGGGACUUGAAUAUCUAACCAUCGAAGGCCAAAGGUACCUGCCUCACUGCCUCAUUCGUAUGGGUCAAUGAGACGGACGCAGAGGGUUUUGCAAACUGCCCAGACUUUCCAGAGCCAGGGCUGGGGCUGCCAAAAAGGCCACCUGUGCUUCACCACACUCCAUCCUCCCUCCUCACUGCCCACCCCCCCUCCCCAGACCCGGCUCCACUGGCCCAGUCCUCAGACUUCCUGGCCAACACUGAGCAGGCUCUAGCCAGAAAAGGGCCAGCUGACCUUGUUGGCCAGAGCCCUAAUCCCCUCCAGAUGGGCCAAGGUGGCUUGCACCACCAAAAGCUGCCCAGCCAAAGCUGACCCUGGUCCCACUGAGCAUGUGUGGCUGUGUGUGACCAUGUGCAGACCUUGCAGUGACAGUCCGGUCUCCCACUCCUCCCCACUGCUGACAUCCGCACAAACAGUGGCCCCACUCCAGUCUCGCCUCCAACAGCCUCUUCUGUCUGUCUGUACUGGGUGGCUCUGGGGCUGCGACAGUGCCCAGGCUCAGCAGACCCCUGAAGGGUGUGGGGAGGGAGAAGCUCCUCCCNGGAGGGGUGGGGGGGGGGAGACCCCCCCCCCCCCCCCCCCCCCCCGCCUGUCAGCCUCAUCCCGCUGCACCUGCCCUUCCAAAGCAUGCUUCCCAGUACCUUCCCCGCGGCGGAAGCUAGAUGGGGUUUCUGGGGUCUGUGAAGAUGUGGAAGCCAAGGACAGGACUUGUGAUCAUCUCCCAACACGGAAGGGACAGGAGGAGGCCACAGAAAAGUACCAGCUUUCCCUGCAGCAGGAAGGAACCCGAUUUGGAGAAUGACUUCCAACCCAACGGAUGUUCCAAAUGAAGGAGAACUCUCCCCAGACUGGUUUGUGUGAAAGCAGGGGCAGGGACAGUAUGACCUCCUACAGGGAGGCCUCCAUCCUGGUAAGGCUGGGGGCUGGGUGGACACCCCCAAAAUGACCAUCCCUGGUUCUUAGCUCCCAUGAUGUGCCAGAGAAUAUGCAAAUGUUACCCUUCCUUGAAAAAUAAACGCUCAUGUGAAGCA
rnacentral:lncRNA from 1 species